CAACGGUGAAUGGUAAACGGUUGAAAAAGGUUCAUAAAAUGCUUAAAAAUCAACGUUGAAAUUUGGUUGAAAUAACGUCAGUUGUUUGUUCAACGUUGAUUCAACGUUGAAACAACGUUGAAACAACAGUGAAGUAAAUGGUUGCAGAGAGACAAUAAAAUAAUGUUUUAUAAUAUGUGAAUCAUUCAGAAAAAAAAUUAAAAACUCAUUUUAUAAAAUUGAUGACAUUAUAAAAAAAAUUUAACAAAUAAUUGAAUAUACAGGUAGCGACGUAAUCUCGCGAGAUUACACGAGACUGGACUGUUUUAACGGCUGUCUUCGAGAUCUUGCGUAUCACACGAGAAAAUGCUUCAGAGAAAGAAGAGAGCCCUUCAAAUUAGAAAAGUGAGGAUGAUCUUGUCAAUGCUGAGAUUUUCAUGCAUCAGCAGCCACUACAUCUGGAUCAGAUUUAACAAGAAACAGACAGCAAGGGUUGUCAGGUCAGAAACAGAAUGACACACAAACACAAGAAACUUCACAGGCAGAUCAACAUGCAAUUUGAAGAUGUGUGAUAAAAUACAAAGAGGUGAAGUAGUGUGUCUUUCCAGAUGCCCAAAUCAUUCCCCCUUAAAAGAUGAGCCUGAAGAGGAGAUUUGGGAAGAUGCUGUUUUAUAAGUCUUUGCUUUGCCAGAUCACCUGUGGUCGAGAUAUCUGCUAACAAGAUGCCUUGUUGGUCUGGGCGAGUUUGAAGUCUCUCACAGACAGUCCAGAAGGUCUGGAGUCCAUCUUAGCUUUUAUUGAUGCUGUCAUCAGGUUUUAAGUACAGUAUUAGCCAGAAUGGAAGGGUGUUGGUGGCCAUAAGAAGACUGUGAGCUAAACCUACAACAAAAUUCAUAUUUGCAGUUUUCCUAGA